rnacentral:misc_RNA from 1 species
AUUGUAAUUUGACUGAAUAAGGCGGCUUCUAUGCCGCCUUAUUUGUUAGGCUGUAGUGACGAAUUAACUUGUGGUUUGGUAUGGGCAAAAAACCUUCAGCUUUAGGAGCGAAACCGAAGGUGGGGUGGUUCCCCCAUCAAGGUUUCGCGACGCCAAGAUGGAGGUUUUUUGCCAUAUCCCGAAGGGACGCGGUGUAUUUUGCUUC